rnacentral:rRNA from 1 species
GACGAACGCUGGCGGCGUGCUUAACACAUGCCAGUCGAACGGAAAGGCCCUGCUUUUGUGGGGUGCUCGAGUGGCGAACGGGUGAGUAACACGUGAGUAACCUGCCCUUGACUUUGGGAUAACUUCAGGAAACUGGGGCUAAUACCGGAUAGGGGCUCCUGCUGCAUGGUGGGGGUUGGAAAGUUUCGGCGGUUGGGGAUGGACUCGCGGCUUAUCAGCUUGUUGGUGGGGUAGUGGCUUACCAAGGCUUUGACGGGUAGCCGGCCUGAGAGGGUGACCGGCCACAUUGGGACUGAGAUACGGCCCAGACUCCUACGGGAGGCAGCAGUGAGGAAUAUUGCACAAUGGGCGGAAGCCUGAUGCAGCAACGCCGCGUGCGGGAUGACGGCCUUCGGGUUGUAAACCGCUUUCGCCUGUGACGAAGCGUGAGUGACGGUAAUGGGUAAAGAAGCACCGGCUAACUACGUGCCAGCAGCCGCGGUGAUACGUAGGGUGCGAGCGUUGUCCGGAUUUAUUGGGCGUAAAGGGCUCGUAGGUGGUUGAUCGCGUCGGAAGUGUAAUCUUGGGGCUUAACCCUGAGCGUGCUUUCGAUACGGGUUGACUUGAGGAAGGUAGGGGAGAAUGGAAUUCCUGGUGGAGCGGUGGAAUGCGCAGAUAUCAGGGGGAACACCAGUGGCGAAGGCGGUUCUCUGGGCCUUUCCUGACGCUGAGGAGCGAAAGCGUGGGGAGCGAACAGGCUUAGAUACCCUGGUAGUCCACGCUGUAAACGGUGGGUACUAGGUGUGGGGUCCAUUCCACGGGUUCCGUGCCGUAGCUAACGCUUUAAGUACCCCGCCUGGGGAGUACGGCCGCAAGGCUAAAACUCAAAGGAAUUGACGGGGCCCCGCACAAGCGGCGGAGCAUGCGGAUUAAUUCGAUGCAACGCGUAGAACCUUACCUGGGUUUGACAUGGAUCGGGAGUGCUCAGAGAUGGGUGUGCCUCUUUUGGGGUCGGUUCACAGGUGGUGCAUGCCUGUCGUCAGCUCGUGUCGUGAGAUGUUGGGUUAAGUCCCGCAACGAGCGCAACCCUUGUUCACUGUUGCCAGCACGUUAUGGUGGGGACUCAGUGGAGACCGCCGGGGUCAACUCGGAGGAAGGUGGGGAUGACGUCAAGUCAUCAUGCCCCUUAUGUCCAGGGCUUCACGCAUGCUACAAUGGCUGGUACAGAGAGUGGCGAGCCUGUGAGGGUGAGCGAAUCUCGGAAAGCCGGUCUCAGUUCGGAUUGGGGUCUGCAACUCGACCUCAUGAAGUCGGAGUCGCUAGUAAUCGCAGAUCAGCAACGCUGCGGUGAAUACGUUCCCGGG